CAAAUACGUCUCGGCAGGAGGAAUUAUAUUAUUUAAAAAAAAACUCGCUUUGCGUUGGAUUUCUUUAAGACGGACCCUCAAAAUGAGUGGCGACUGAAGGUCGCAAUUCACAUUAUAUUCAGUUUUGCAGCAAAAUAGAAAAUUGAAAAAUAACAUAAGGUUUUAUAAACUGAUAAAAGGCCCAUAAAUGUCAGAUAAUGCAUGUCAUGAUAAAGAUCUGCAACAACAAAUGCCAUUCCAUGUCUCGCGGUGAAGCCGAUCCAUGAGCUGCCAGAAAAUUCAAGAUCUCCAGCAAUGCUCACCAGUUCCACAAGCAAAAAAAGAAAGAAAAGGCACUCAACAGGAAAGCGGGCCUGAAUUCCACUUUCACUUGCAAUAGACAUAAACAAUCCAACCUACCUACAAUGAUCCACAGGAUCAUGUGAGGGCGCUGCAGACUUGGUCUUCCACAUAAUGCAACAAAUGACCAACUGUAUUUGGAACCUAAAAUGCAAUCACGCAUACCCCAAUGAUUUCUCCUUAGAAACUCUGGAUACUUUCUUCUUUCCUUUUCCCAGUACAAGAAACUUGAGAAACUCAACAACUCACUUCUUUGAUUCAAUGAGUUCGGCGUCAUUGCUUCAAGCGAAGUUAUGACAAGAACCAUUAUAUCAUGCAUAAAACCAUCUAACUAAAAGAGAUAAAAAGAAGGCGGCUGCAAUAACCU
rnacentral:misc_RNA from 1 species